AGAGUUUGAUCCUGGCUCAGAAUAAACGCUGGCGGCGUGCCUAACACAUGCAAGUCGGACGAGAAAGCUUGGGGAAACUUGGGCGAGUAAAGUGGCGCACGGGUGAGUAACGCGUAGGUAACCUACCCUUGUAUUUGGGAUAACAGGACGAAAGUUCUGCUAAUACCGGAUGAGAUCCCGAGGCGGGAGCCGAGGGAUGAAAGCGUGCCUCUCGGAGAAGCACGCGUACGGGGAUGGGCCUGCGUCCUAUCAGCUGGUUGGUGGGGUAACGGCCCACCAAGGCGACGACGGGUAGCUGGUCUGAGAGGAUGAUCAGCCACACUGGCACUGGAACACGGGCCAGACUCCUACGGGAGGCAGCAGUGAGGAAUUUUGCGCAAUGGCCGCAAGGCUGACGCAGCAACGCCGCGUGGGUGAUGAAGGCCUUCGGGUCGUAAAGCCCUGUCGGGUGGGAAGAAAGGGCCGAUGAGGACAAGGCGUUGGUUUUGACGGUACCACCAGAGGAAGCACCGGCUAACUCCGUGCCAGCAGCCGCGGUAAUACGGAGGGUGCGAGCGUUAUUCGGAAUUACUGGGCGUAAAGGGCGAGUAGGCGGCGGGAUAAGUCUGAUGUGAAAGCCCCGGGCUUAACCUGGGAAGUGCAUUGGAGACUGUUUCGCUUGAGUACCGGAGAGGAAGGGGGAAUUCCCGGUGUAGAGGUGAAAUUCGUAGAGAUCGGGAGGAAUACCAGUGGCGAAGGCGCCCUUCUGGACGGUUACUGACGCUGAGACGCGAAAGCGUGGGGAGCAAACAGGAUUAGAUACCCUGGUAGUCCACGCUGUAAACGAUGAGCACUAGGUGUAGCGGGUACUCAUUCCUGCUGUGCCGUAGCUAACGCGUUAAGUGCUCCGCCUGGGGAUUACGGUCGCAAGACUAAACUCAAAUGAAUUGACGG
rnacentral:rRNA from 1 species